rnacentral:rRNA from 1 species
AACGUAGGAGACGAACGUUAUCCGGAGUUACUGGGCGUAAAGGGCGUGUAGGCGGUCUGUUAAGUCUGGCGUGAAAGCUCUCGGCUAAACCGGGAGAGGUCGUUGGAUACUGGCAUGACUGGAGGAUGGUAGAGGCGUGUGGAAUUCCGGGUGUAGUGGUGAAAUGCGUAGAGAUCCGGAGGAACACCAGUGGCGAAGGCGACACGCUGGGCCAUACCUGACGCUAAAGCGCGACAGCAUGGGGAGCAAACGGG